GGGACCCGCACAAGCGGUGGAUGAUGUGGUUUAAUUCGAUGCAACGCGAAAAACCUUACCCACCUUUGACAUGGCAGGAAGUUUCCAGAGAUGGAUUCGUGCCCGAAAGGGAACCUGCACACAGGUGCUGCAUGGCUGUCGUCAGCUCGUGUCGUGAGAUGUUGGGUUAAGUCCCGCAACGAGCGCAACCCUUGCCAUUAGUUGCUACGAAAGGGCACUCUAAUGGGACUGCCGGUGACAAACCGGAGGAAGGUGGGGAUGACGUCAAGUCCUCAUGGCCCUUAUAGGUGGGGCUACACACGUCAUACAAUGGCUGGUACAGAGGGUUGCCAACCCGCGAGGGGGAGCUAAUCCCAUAAAGCCAGUCGUAGUCCGGAUCGCAGUCUGCAACUCGACUGCGUGAAGUCGGAAUCGCUAGUAAUCGCGGAUCAGAAUGUCGCGGUGAAUACGUUCCCGGGUCUUGUACACACCGCCCGUCACACCAUGGGAGCGGGUUCUGCCAGAAGUAGGUAGCCUAACCGUAAGGAGGGCGCUUACCACGGCAGGGUUCGUGACUGGGGUGAAGUCGUAACAAGGUAACCAAGGGC
rnacentral:rRNA from 1 species